AUUGAACGCUGGCGGCAGGCCUAACACAUGCAAGUCGAACGAGUGGCGGACGGGUGAGUAAUGUCUGGGACACUGCCCGAUGGAGGGGGAUAACUACUGGAAACGGUAGCUAAUACCGCAUACCAUCGGAUGUGCCCAGAUGGGAUUAGCUGGUAGGUGGGGUAACGGCUCACCUAGCCGACGAUCCCUAGCUGGUCUGAGAGGAUGACCGGCCACACUGGAACUGAGACACGGGCCAGACUCCUACGGGCGGCAGCAGUGGGAAAUAUUGCACAAUGGGCGCAAGCCUGAUGCAGCCAUGCCGGGUGUAUGAAGAAGGCCUUCGGGUUGUAAAGUACUUUCAGCGAGGAGGCGUUACUCGCAGAAGAAGCACCGGCUAACUCCGUGCCAGCAGCCGCGGUAAUUC
rnacentral:rRNA from 1 species